rnacentral:rRNA from 1 species
UACAGAGGGUGCGAGCGUUAAUCGGAAUUACUGGGCGUAAAGCGCGCGUAGGCGGCUUUGCAAGUCGGGUGUGAAAUCCCCAGGCUUAACCUGGGAACUGCAUUCGAGACUGCAUUGCUAGUAUGGGAGAGGGAAGUGGAAUUUCCGGUGUAGCGGUGAAAUGCGUAGAUAUCGGAAGGAACAUCAGUGGCGAAAGCGACUUCCUGGACCAAUACUGACGCUCAUGUGCGAAAGCGUGGGGAGCAAACAGG